rnacentral:rRNA from 1 species
CCUACGGGAGGCAGCAGUGGGGAAUAUUGGGCAAUGGGCGCAAGUCUUACCCAGCAAUACCGCGUUAGUGAAGAAGGUUUUCGGAUUGUAAAGCUCUUUUAUCAGGGACGAACAGAUGACGGUACCUGAAGAAUAAGCCCCGGCUAACUACGUGCCAGCAGCCGCGGUAAAACGUAGGGGGCGAGCGUUGUCCGGAAUUACUGGGCGUAAAGGGCGCGUAGGCGGGAUAGAAAGUUAGAAGUGAAAUACCCAGAGCUUAACUCGGGUGCUGCUUCUAAGACUGUUGAGCUUGAGCGCGGGAGAGGUUAAUGGAAUUCCUAGUGUAGCGGUGGAAUGCGUAGAUAUUAGGAGGAACACCAGAGGCGAAGGCGAAUAACUGGACCGUAACUGACGCUGAGGCACGAAAGUGUGGGUAGCAAACAGGAUUAGAUACCCGAGUAGUC